UGUUGAAUUUGCGGUUGCAUCGUCGUGUCUAGUUGCUGGUCUUAGAGUCUAGUCUUUUAGAGUUUCGAGUUCUGGUCAUAAGUUGUCACGCCGCCGCCGCACCAUCAUCAUCGCCCCUGCCAUCUACCACCGCCGCUUAUCCGCCACCGCUUCGAAUCCGUAUCCAUAUACCACCACCGCUGCCAUAUACCACCACCGCUGCCAUAUACCACCACCAUAUAUCCACCACCAAUCCGAGUUCCUUGCAUAUUAGGUGUGUUUUCGAGAUCCAUCUAGUUUCCGAUUCGUGUUUCCUUCCCGGAGUAGGUUUCGAAAAAAAAGAGUCGGGUAGCCACGCUCCGCUUAGGCCCAAAAUUUUUCGAAAACGCAUUUUUUGAAAAAAUUUCUGGCUAUCCUAUUUUUAGGUGUUUCUGAGUGUUUUGAGACAGGUGCCAUUAUAGGAAGUUUUUUUUGACCCGUUUCCAGUUUUUGGGUCCGGGCAGUCGAAAAAAAAAAUUGGUCGAAAAAAUUUCGUGCCCAUCCUGUCAGUUUCAGCUAGGAAGAGUUUUGAGACACUCGCCAUUACAGUGAUUUUUCGCAAAAAAAAAGCAGCGCAAAAAAAAAGAGCGCAAAAAAAAAGAGCGAAAAAAAAAUUCAGAGUGUGCUUUUCCCUUGUUUACGUGUCGCGCCGUGAUUUUGUUGGUGUUCUAGGCUCGCGUCUCUAGCACAGUCUAGCCUAGGACCAGCACAGUACCGCCGUUGAGCGUUUAUUCAACUUUGCAUCUCUGAAUUGAUUAUUGCUGACCCUUUUUGCUACCAUACUAUAAGCCUUCCCAGCUCCACAUACAUCUACGUCGUGUGUUUGACUCUCCCUGGUAAUUGCUCUAUCCAAGCUUUGAGAGUUUUUGACUACAACGGUUGCCGAUCACCGCCUGCUGCUGGGUAAGAACUGGUAAGAAUUUGAGAUUUGCUUGACGGAUUUGUGAUACACCACCACCACUUCUUAGUAGUCUGUAGGAUCAUAUUCUUGUGUGUUUCUAUUGCUGCUAACCAUGCCAGGAUCACAAGACGACGAGAUUGACUGGGAGAACUUAUCGAACAAGGAUCUUCAUGAUAAGUUUCAGCAAAUGAUGACUGAACAGGUGCAAGAUGUGCUGAACAAUUUUGAAGAGGCUAUGGAGAAGAUUACUGGCCUUGAGAAGACGUUCGAAACAAAGCUCGAUAACAGAUUUAAUGAACUACUUGCGCGUCUUCCACCACCGGCUGCACCUGUCGCACCUCUUCAACAACAACAACUACGCCCCCUUCCGAAUCAGUAUGGACGAGCACAGCGUGUUCCUAUUGAGCGAGGACAAAAUUCUGGUGCCGCUGCUACUGCUGUUGGUGCUUCUUUGGCUCCUGCUACUGCUGCUGCUGGUACCCAGGAGGAUGAUGAUUAUGUGGGAGAUUAUGAGGAUGAGGUUGAUCAAAAUCCAAACUACGUGCAGCCACCAGCACCACCACCACCAGGUCGACCUCACGUAUAUAUUCGUCAUGGUAGGCCUGCACCACCACCUCAGGUACGAGAUGAUGUCCAUAUUCCUAAACUGAAAUUGAAUAUUCCACCAUUUGAGGGUAGAUAUGUUCCUGAUAUAUAUCUUACUUGGGAGUUAGAAACUGAACAACGAUUUACAUGUUUACAAUAUCCUGAGGAGAGACGAGUUGCUGCUGCUGUUUGUGCUUUCACUAGUUUUGCAUGUGUAUGGUGGUCUGAACAUUGUAGAUUAUAUCCUAUUCCAACUACUUGGGCUGCUUUGAAAACUGCUAUGCGUACGCGUUGGGUUCCACCAUAUUAUCAACGUGAAUUGCUUCAAAAAUUGCAGCGUUUAAGACAAGGGAAAAAUUCUGUAGAAGAAUAUUAUCAGGAAUUACAAACUGGCAUGAUUAGAUGUGGUAUUGUUGAGGAGAAUGAAGCUAUGCUUGCACGUUUUCUGGGUGGAUUAAAUAGAGAGAUUCAGACCAUUCUAGACUAUAAGGAGUAUACUAAUAUCACUCGUUUAUUCCAUCUUGCUUGUAAAGCUGAACGUGAAGUGCAGGAUCGACAAGCAUUGGCGCGAACUAACUUUUCUGCAGGCCGACCUUCAUCAUGGACACCGUGUGCAUCUUCUACUUCAACUGCACCAACACCUCAAUUAGGUGCCUCCUCCAGUCGUGAUACAAGAAAACAGGGACAACCACCAUUAUCUGCCAAGAGCGCACCUGCUGGGCCUGCACGGAGUUCUUCUUCUUCCAUGGCAUCAACAGGGCACACAAGUGAUAUUAUUUGUCGUCGUUGUAAGGGAGGAGGUCAUUAUGCGAGAGAAUGCAAAUCUCCGCGUGUGAUGAUUGCUACCGCGGAUGGUGGAUAUGAGUCCGCUAGUGACUAUGAUGAGGAGACUUUGGCUCUUAUUACACAUGAAGAACAUGGUGGAGAUGAUUCUGAUCAUGAGACGCAAUACAUGGCUCCUGAAGACGCUGACAGGUAUGAAUGUUUAGUUGCUCAACGUGUUUUGAGUGUGCAGGUCACACAAGCUGAGCAAAAUCAGAGGCACAAUUUGUUCCAUACCAAGGGAGUUGUGAAGGAACGUUCUGUGCGCGUCAUAAUAGACGGAGGGAGCUGCAACAACUUGGCUAGCAUGGAGAUGGUGGAGAAGCUUUCUCUCAUGAUGAGGACAUCAAUACCAUUGUUACACCCACAGGCCCUGCUGCUAUACAUACUGGACCAAUUACUAGAGCUCGCGCACGCCAACUAAAUUACCAGGUACUUUCGUUUCUUGGUAAUGAUUCUAAUGUUCAUGAGAAUAUGAUGCUGCCUAAAUUGGAUACAUUUGUUUUGCUUACAAAUGAAGGGCCUAGCUUGGAGAAGGAUGAACAUUGGAGCAAGAACAAGCAUGGAGAUGAUGGCAUGCGCAAGGUGAACAAGAACGGAGUUACAAGUGAUGAUUUCAGGACUAUGAAGCCACCAUAAUGGGUGCAUGAAGCCUUGGGCGAAAUAUACAAGAUGCCACUUCAUAAAUUUCAUCCCGAGGCUAUUUUAGGUGCUGCGUCACCUUAUUAUUGGGCCAGGCCCAUGUAAUUUCGAAAUACAUAAGUAUAGGCUAUUUUUAGAGUCCGUAUGUGUGGGGAAACAAGAGAUAGGGUUGAUUUCGGACCCCUCCACCAAGGGCCACGAAAUUCCCCCCUCUUCCUCCAUAUAUACAGCCCUUAGGGCAUCGUUUAGACUUUGGGUUUUGUUUAGAUUAAAAGUUCGCCAUAGCUGCAACUUCGCGUACUUCGUUUGUGUUCAACGACCAGACAAAGGCGUCACAGAACCCCACCUUGAACAAUAAAGCUUUCAUCUUAUAUUUGCAAUAUCCAGAUUGCAAUCUCAGUUUCUUGCUUGUUCUUCGUUUGCUCGCAGGAAACAGACCCUCGUGGUCUGGUUGAUCGUGCUCCGGCGUGGUCAAUAACCUCUCGGAGUUGGUUUAGCGAUUGCUAAGGCGCGACGUCCUCGCACGUUCGUAGUCGGAUCGUCAAAGUCGACUUCCACCAAAGCGAAAUCCAUCAUCUCAUCGAAAGACGGGACACCUCCGCCUCUAUCAAGUGGUAUCAGAUUUCCAGGUUGCUCGGUGAGAUUUUACAGUUUUUCGUAGUUUAGACCGAGUCUGUUCUUCAUACCUACAGUCCACGAAAAAGCCACAAAAAAAUUAGGGUUAGUUCAUCAUAUCCGAACCAAUCUGAGCCUUUGCAUAAUCUUUUUAGGGUUUUGCUUUGUUGAAUUUGCGGUUGCAUCGUCGUGUCUAGUUGCUGGUCUUAGAGUCUAGUCUUUUAGAGUUUCGAGUUCUGGUCAUAAGUUGUCACGCCGCCGCCGCACCAUCAUCAUCGCCCCUACCAUCUACCACCACCGCUUAUCCGCCACCGCUCCGAAUCCGUAUCCAUAUACCACCACCAAUCCGUGUCCAUAUACCACCACCGAUCCAUAUCCAUAUACUACCACCGCUACCACCACCGCUGCCAUAUACCACCACCAUAUAUCCACCACCAAUCCGAGUUCCUUGCAUAUUAGGUUUGUUUUCGAGAUCCAUCU
rnacentral:lncRNA from 1 species